rnacentral:rRNA from 1 species
AACGAACGCUGGCGGCAUGCCUAACACAUGCAAGUCGAACGAGACCUUCGGGUCUAGUGGCGCACGGGUGCGUAACGCGUGGGAACCUGCCCUUAGGUUCGGAAUAACUCCCCGAAAGGGGUGCUAAUACCGGAUAAUGUCUUCGGACCAAAGAUUUAUCGCCUUUGGAUGGGCCCGCGUUGGAUUAGCUAGUUGGUAGGGUAAAAGCCUACCAAGGCGACGAUCCAUAGCUGGUCUGAGAGGAUGAUCAGCCACACUGGGACUGAGACACGGCCCAGACUCCUACGGGAGGCAGCAGUGGGGAAUAUUGGACAAUGGGCGAAAGCCUGAUCCAGCAAUGCCGCGUGAGAGAGGAAGGCCUUAGGGUUGUAAAGCUCUUUUACCCGGGAUGAUAAUGACAGUACCGGGAGAAUAAGCACCGGCUAACUACGUG